rnacentral:piRNA from 1 species
UGGUCCUCCAAUGUUGCCUGACCUCCACU